CUCCCCAUAAAAGCUCAACACUUGCCCCCCAUCAGGACUCUACUGCAGACAGUAGCCCUGAGCCUCCACCUGGCAGGGAGUUCUCAGCUCCUGGCAUCUGUGAGGAAGGAAAGGAGGGAGCUCUCUGUGCUGUGAGGAAGGUGUUUCUGAGUCUGAGAGAUGGUCUGCGUGUGGGGAGGCAAGAUGCCAGCUCAGAGGAUUUUUGGGGCCCGAUUCUGCCUCCUGCUGUUCCUCUCUGUGGCCACCAGAGGGCAGAGUGCAGGUAAGUGUCUGAGGAGCAGCAGUUUCUUCAGCUGCCCUGAGGUGUGCAGAGGAGCAGAGGGACUAGAGCUGGGCUGCAGGCUGAAGUCGUAACACAGAGGGGAAGUCAUGGAGAUGCACAGAGGCCAACUUUGUAGCCAACCUGAUGUGUCCUGGGUGCUGAUUGCUGGCUUCUCCGUGGGUCUGGUCUGAAGAAGGUAGGGUGUUAGUUAAGCCACACCCUGGGGCUCCACUCUGUGCGUUAGGUUGGCUGGCAGGCUCAGGGGAGCCAUGGUAAAGUCUGUUCCGUUGUUGCUACUCCUUCUCCUAUGGCCUUGGCCUGGGGAUUCCCUGAAGGAGCUGGUGGUCAGGGCUGUAUGACAGAGGAGGCUCAGGGGCGGCAUGGUAAAGACUGCCCCCUUCUGGGUGAGCUAGGGGAGGAGAGAGAGAAAUUAGGAGUUUGGAAUUAAUAUGCACAUGCUACUGUAUAUAAAAUAGUCAAACAACAGGGACCUACUGUGUAGGACAGGAAACUAUACUCAAAAUCGUGUAAAAACGUAGAAUGGAAAAAGAAUCUGAAAAAGAAUUACUUGGCGGUAUACUUGAGACUAACACUGUUAUGG
rnacentral:lncRNA from 1 species